rnacentral:tRNA from 1 species
GCCCACGUCGCAUAGCGGUAUUGCAGCGGAUUGCUAAUCCGCGCCCUUACGGGCUCCCAGGUUCGAAUCCUGGCGUGGGCG